GACGAACGCUGGCGGCGUGCCUAAUACAUGCAAGUAGAACGCUGAAGAGAGGAGCUUGCUCUUCUUGGAUGAGUUGCGAACGGGUGAGUAACGCGUAGGUAACCUGCCUUGUAGCGGGGGAUAACUAUUGGAAACGAUAGCUAAUACCGCAUAACAAUGGAUGACACAUGUCAUUUAUUUGAAAGGGGCAAUUGCUCCACUACAAGAUGGACCUGCGUUGUAUUAGCUAGUAGGUGAGGUAAUGGCUCACCUAGGCGACGAUACAUAGCCGACCUGAGAGGGUGAUCGGCCACACUGGGACUGAGACACGGCCCAGACUCCUACGGGAGGCAGCAGUAGGGAAUCUUCGGCAAUGGGGGCAACCCUGACCGAGCAACGCCGCGUGAGUGAAGAAGGUUGUCGGAUCGUAAAGCUCUGUUGUAAGUCAAGAACGGGUGUGAGAGUGGAAAGUUCACACUGUGACGGUAGCUUACCAGAAAGGGGCGGCUAACUACGUG
rnacentral:rRNA from 1 species